rnacentral:misc_RNA from 1 species
UGACCAAUCAAGCUCUGCUUGGCCUUGGGGCCCGCUGUACCGGCGGCCCUUAAAAUCAGUGGCGGUGCCGUCUGGCUCUAAGCGUAGUAAUACUUCUCGCUACAGGGUCCAGCCGUCCACCCGUCAGAACCCCCCAACUUUCUUA